CUCACGCGAUGCGCACCAUCAGCGGUCCACACGACCAUACAAAUGGGGCAGCUGGGAAGGCAUGGGUCCUCCGCCUCGGCUUCACUCUCCGCCGCCUUAUACUUGCUGGCAGAGCCGCCCGGGCUCCUCGCACCGUCACCGGAUCCCUCGCUCCCCUCCUCCUCCUCAUCGCUCCCUUCCUCACUCGAGCCGGACGAGCUCACUUGUACAGCCGUGGGAGCAGCCACCUCUGGGGCCGGCCGCGGCCGCCUGCCCCGGGAGCCCGACCGUGACGGCAUUGGGGUGGCCGUCUGGCCGAGCUUCGCCGCGACCGGAUUGGACUAUUGGAGAGCGGCAGAAUGAACUGGAUUGGGAAAAGAAAUUUCAG
rnacentral:misc_RNA from 1 species